GACGAACGCUGGCGGCGUGCUUAACACAUGCAAGUCGAACGAUGAAGCCUUAGCUUGCUUUGGUGGAUUAGUGGCGAACGGGUGAGUAACACGUGAGCAACGUGCCCAGGACUCUGGAAUAACCGCGGGAAACCGUGGCUAAUACCGGAUAGGUGCCGAUGCCGCAUGGUCUUCGGUUGGAAAGUUUUUGCGGUUCUGGAUCGGCUCACGGCCUAUCAGCUUGUUGGUGGGGUAAUGGCCUACCAAGGCGACGGCGGGUAGCCGGCCUGCGAGGGUGACCGGCCACACUGGGCCUGAGACAGGGGCCAGACUCCUACGGGAGGCAGCGGUGGAGAAUAUAGCACGAUGGGCGCAAGCAUGAUGCAGCGACGCCGCGUGGGGGAUGACGGCCUUCGGGUUGUAACCCUCUUUUAGUAGGGAAGAAGCGCAAGUGACGGUACCUGCAGAAAAAGCACCGGCUAACUACGUG
rnacentral:rRNA from 1 species